rnacentral:misc_RNA from 1 species
AAUUAGGACAUUUAUGGAUGAUAGACUUGAAAGAGGGGAAGAGAUUGAGCCAGCAAUCAUAAAAGCAAUUAAAGAGGCUGAAGUUUCAGCUAUUAUUUUCUCAAACAAUUAUGCUGAUUCUCCAUGGUGCUUGGAUGAACUUGUGAUGAUCUUGAAGUGCAGGGACGAACAACUACAGGACGUAAUUCCUGUAUUCUACCAUGUUGAUCCAGAUGAUGUCAGGGAACAAAAAAAUAGUUUUGGCGAGGCAUUAGCUAAGCACAAGCGGCAUUUCCAGGGCAAUCCUGAUAAGGUGCAAAAGUGGAGAACUGCAUUGACAAAAGCCGCCAAUAUUGACGGGAAGGAUUUGACUGAGGCCACGAACGAGUAUAAACUUCUUCAAGUUAUUGUCAACGACGUUUUGGGUCAUACGAAUCAUUUAUACCAAAGUGAAGAGAAAAAUCUAGUCCCCCAACCAUCACAAAUCAGCUGGAUUGAGUCAUUAUUAUGUGUUGGGCUCGAUGAUGAGGUUCGCUUUGUUGGAAUAUGGGGAAUGGGGGGCAUAGGUAAAACAACUCUUGCCAAAGAAGUAUCAGGAAGAAUCUCUUCUCACUUUAAGGGGAACUGCUGCUUUCUGGAAAAUGUUAGAGAAAUAU